rnacentral:rRNA from 1 species
GAUGUUGGGUUAAGUCCCGCAACGAGCGCCACCCUUGUCUAUAGUUGCCCUCAUUAAGUUGGGCACUCUAGAGAGAAUGCCAGGGAUAACCUGGAGGAAGGUGGGGAGGACGGCAAAUCUUCAUGGCCCUUAGGCGUGGGGCGACACCCGUGCUACAAUGGGUAGUACAGAGGGUUGCCAAGCCGUAGGGUGGAGCUAAUCCCUUAAAGCUACUCUCAGUUCGGAUUGUAGGCUGAAACUCGCCUACAUGAAGCUGGAGUUACUAGUAAUCGCAGAUCAGAAUGCUGCGGUGAAUGCGUUCCCGGGUCUUGUACACACCGCCCGUCACACCACGGGAG